GAUGAACGCUAGCGGCAGGCCUAACACAUGCAAGUCGAGGGGCAUCGCGGUGCAGCAAUGCACUGGCGGCGACCGGCGUACGGGUGCGUAACGCGUAUGCAACCUGCCCCGCACCGGGGGAUAGCCCGCCGAAAGGCGGAUUAAUACCCCAUGGUCCCGGGGGCCCGCAUGGGCAUCCGGGUAAAGCCUUGGCGGUGCGGGAUGGGCAUGCGUGCCAUUAGCUGGCUGGUGGGGUAACGGCCCACCAGGGCAACGAUGGCUAGGGGGUCUGAGAGGAUGGUCCCCCACACUGGUACUGAGACACGGACCAGACUCCUACGGGAGGCAGCAGUGAGGAAUAUUGGUCAAUGGGCGGAAGCCUGAACCAGCCAUGCCGCGUGCGGGAUGAAGGCCCUACGGGUUGUAAACCGCUUUCCCGGGAAGAUAAGCCCCCGCGGGGUGAUGCCGGUACCGGGGAAUAAGGAUCGGCUAACUCCGUG
rnacentral:rRNA from 1 species